rnacentral:rRNA from 1 species
GGAGGCAGCAGUGGGGAAUAUUGGACAAUGGCGAAAGCCUGAUCCAGCAAUACCGCGUGUGUGAAGAAGGCCUUCGGGUUGUAAAGCACUUUCAGUUGUGAGGAAAAGUUAGUAGUUAAUACCUGCUAGCCGUGACGUUAACAACAGAAGAAGCACCGGCUAACUCCGUGCCAGCAGCCGCGGUAAUACGGAGGGUGCGAGCGUUAAUCGGAAUUACUGGGCGUAAAGCGCACGCAGGCGGUUUGUUAAGUCAGAUGUGAAAUCCCCGGGCUCAACCUGGGAACUGCAUUCGAAACUGGCAGGCUAGAGUCUUGUAGAGGGGGGUAGAAUUCCAGGUGUAGCGGUGAAAUGCGUAGAGAUCUGGAGGAAUACCGGUGGCGAAGGCGGCCCCCUGGACAAAGACUGACGCUCAUGCACGAUAGCGUGGGAGCAAACAGGAUUAGAUACCCUGGUAG